GACGAACCGAGCGAACGUUAUUCGGAAUCACUGGGCUUAAAGGGCGCGUAGGCGGGCCAUCAAGUCAGGGGUGAAAGCCCCCAGCUCAACUGGGGAAGUGCCUCUGAUACUGGUGGCCUCGAGGGAGGUAGGGGCGUGCGGAACUUCCGGUGGAGCGGUGAAAUGCGUAGAUAUCGGAAGGAACACCAAUGGCGAAGGCAGCUUGCUGGGACGGUACUGACGCUGAGGCGCGAAAGCGUGGGGAGCAAACAGG
rnacentral:rRNA from 1 species